ensembl:lncRNA
UUUCCGUAAAAUUGCGACCUUUUUUUACAGUGUACCCGAUGUAGCAGGUCACUCACCUCAUGCAGGAGGAGGUCUCUCACCUCAGGCAGGAGGGGGAGGUCUCUCACCUCAGGCAGGAGGAGGUCUCUCACCUCAGGCAGGAGGAGGUCUCUCACCUCAGGCAGGAGGAGGAGGUAUCCGUCCCAGUAAAAAGCACUUUAGAAACAGCCGUGCUCGGCUUCAUCAGCCACUAAGCCGACUCCGGCUCCGACCAAUCAGUUCCGAGUCCCGCAGCCAGGCCUCCCUUUGGCCACUUCCUGCUGAGAUAAAACCAUCAGCCACGGGCUCUGCCCCCCCCCCCCUGCCGGUGGAGACGGCGACCCGGUGAGGGGUGAUGGGGGAAGGCUGGCAGCAGGUGACAGCAGAGCGAGUUUCCCUCAGCAGGUGACACCUCAACCCUGAAGCACUGAUGCCUCCUUAUCGCCGCUGACAUGGAGAGAAAACGCUGACGAUCCAGCAAGUUUUUUUUUUUACCAGUUAUCUGCUGAGCGAGUUCAUUCCUCCAAGAAGAAUCCACGUGGAAGCAGAGACUCAAGAAGAACUGCACAUCGUCUUUUCGCAUGCAGGUUUGGUCCAAGAACAGCAGAGUGAUGCCUUAUGGAUGAGACAUCAUGGCCGGUGCCCGGCAGCGUCAGAGCGAUGCCGGGGGGGUUCGACAGCUGUCAGUGAGUGUCCUGUAAAGAAGGUGGGUCACAGCUUCUCCGAGGAAAGAACCAGACCUGCCUCUGUGCUGGGACGCAAUCACAGUCUUUAGGAUGAGAGCUGGUGACUCAGGUGAAGGGGGCAUCGCAGUGGUGAAAUGAAGCCGGUCUAAUACACACACUGCGUCCUCGUGUGAAUAUAUUAAUGCAUUAUUUCUACAGCUGCUGACCUGAGCGCUUCAAGCCAGCCAUUAGGACGCUUAGUUUAGACCUGGUUAAACCGCGGAAAGGACUCGAGACUCGAGGCUGGUCAGAUCAGUCGCGCUUAGCGAGGUGACGGACGUAGGACGACUGACUCGAGACUUGUCUCACAGUGUCCCCUUGGAUCCGCAUUAGAUCGUUCACCUGUUUUUCCCCUGUCUCCUCCCACACCAGGUGUUCCCUGUUGGCCAAUUAUCCCUCGGGCAUAUAACCUGUGUCUUCUCCCUGUUCCUGUUGCCAGUUCGUCUUGUGUGUUCCACCAGGUCUUACCAGCGUUGUAUCCCUGUAGUGCCCAGUCGAUUCUAGAGAUCCCCCGUGUACGGAACUCCUGCCUGCCUCCGACACCGACACCGCCUGCCCGAAUUCCUCUACAUUAAAGCUUAUUCCUCACAUCUGCGUUUGGGUCUCUGUCUGAGCUGUGAUACGUUCUCACGACUUGUCGACUGUGUUUCUUGUCCACAGACCGGCUAACGGUACUUCGUUUCGGAAGUUGGACUCAAUCACUUUGGUUUUAAUGCUUCUGCAAAACGCUACUUGGUUUGUCUCCGACUGAAACUUACCAAAGAUCAAGAAAACAAUCCAGAAAAAGAACAUUGUGUCCCUGGUCAGAGGUGAGGUACCAGUAAGAGUUCCACAAACGAGGUGUUGUCAGUUGUUGUUCUGCAAUGCAUUGUGGGAAACUACUGUGCUUUAGCAGCCCACUUGGAUAUCAAGUGGAUUUAGUAUAAACUCUUUUUUUCAAAAGCUCCACAGAAUAAGUCUGAGAUUCAGUGUGUAGGGUGAUGACUCACCAGUUGUAGAGAGCGUGUGUGUGUGUGUGUGUGUGUGUGUGUGUGUGUGUGUGUGUGUGUCUCCAUUACAAGUUUGAGGUUUAGGGCUGAGGCUGAUUGACACCAUCAGCCUGUCGCCUCGCUUCGUGUUCUUUGUCAUCGUCCAUCUCUUCCUCACUGGGGAUGAAGAGCUAAAGGAAGGAAUCAGAUAUGAAUAUUAUUUCUCCCUGUCUGAGAUCUCCAGUCCGACAGCGAGCUUCAACCCCCCCAAGACCCCCGCUCGUCUGCAGCAAUAACAGCAGACAACAAACUUGUUAAAAGUCUGGGCCUUCACUCAGACUAAAGCUUCUAGUUUCCCAGAACAAGAUGCUCUGGACUUUUAACUGUGUCUGGACAAAAAUAAGUCUUUCAUUUCCAGAAGGAUAAUACGGACAUUUAAAUUCUCUUUGAGUCAGAAGACCUCGUCCAUCGUGAUUACUAAGUGUCACCUGUAAUUUAUUAACAGCAACAAUUUUAAACACAAUCAAUUCAUUUCAGCAGAAUCAACUAGAAGGAAUGAAACGGGUCUUUAGACAUGCAAACGUGUGAACAUAAUAGCUGUGCAAUUUCUUAUUAACGUUCUCUACUGAAAUGUACAUUUCUUCCCAAUCAGCAUUGUGAAAAAACACGACUGAUUGUUUGUGGUUUGUGUGUUUGCAUUAGCCUGCUAGCUCACUGGUAGCCAUCACUAAAGUGUCUGGUUGGAGUUAGCAUGUCACACGGCACGAGCUCCACUAUUUAAUGAAGAUAUUCAAAUAAAAUCAAUAAAUAGUCUCUGGUGUCUGCAGACACAACUUUCUCAUUCUAAUAUGUGAAUGAUACUACAAUAAAACACAAGGCCUGAUGACUAGAUGUCCCUCACAGCUGAUAACCCCAUCGCUCCAUCGAGGUCGUAGGUCACACCUGGGGAGGGUGUGGUCGACCUGGAAGAACACCUUAAACACAUUUUUGUCUGAACUUCUGGACUGUGUUGUAAGAUUUGACACAGAGUUUACUUCCU